rnacentral:rRNA from 1 species
AAGGAUCAUUACUGAGAGGUCUCUUCUGUUCCUCACAGUAUGUGCAAUGUUGGGUCACCUUGGUUGACUCUGCCUUUUCAGCUUGGACCUAGUAGAGACCCUCCUUUUAGGAGACUUAUUGGGUUGAAGCGACCAAGGCAUAUCCUUUGGGGUUUGGUAUUUAUACUAGCCCCAGUGGUUUUUCUAUGAAAAGAAUUGAUGUAUGAAAAAGUUAUUUGUUAACUUGAAGACGUUCUAGUCUUUAAAAACAACUCUUGGCAAUGGAUCUCUUGGUUCUCGCAUCGAUGAAGAGCGUAGCAAAGUGCGAUAAUUAUUGCGACUUGCAUUCAUAGUGAAUCAUCGAGUUCUUGAACGCAUCUUGCGCCUAGUAGUCAAUCUACUAGGCACAGUUGUUUCAGUAUCAUCCUAACCAAUCAGCCUAACUUGGGUUUCCUAAGUGAAAGCUGGAACUGGACUCUUGACAGCAUUCAGUUGCUCUCAUGGUCUUAAAUACCAAGUCUUUGUGCAUUCACAUUGUGAGUGUACGGGUGGAAAUUUUUUAAACAGUGAGUGAAAAGCGUCUUGGGUUGUGGGAACCCCCAAGUGUUAGCCUUUGAGCGUCGACCUGGUUUCCGACUUGAAACGACUUGAGAAUGCACUAGCAUUCAAGACUCUACAAAUCUCACAAAUCUUGAUCUGAAAUCAACUGAGACUACCCGCUGAACUUAA